rfam:Perkinsus marinus ATCC 50983 gcontig_1104296275942, whole genome shotgun sequence.
GCUCUGGUGGCUCAAUCGGAUAGACCGUUGGACUUCUAAUCCAAAGGUUGCGGGUUCAAGUCCCGCCCAGAGUA